CCAUUUUUAAAGAAAUGGAAAUAUAAAAUAUGAUAACAUAUAGAACAGGCUAAUUUGCGCAAGAGUGUACAAAAUGAGUGCGCGGUUUGGCACCUCGAUGUCGGCUUAACUUAUCCUCAUGGAUGCAGGAACUAUGUAGGGUGCGACUGUUCGUCGAUUAAAAAGUUACAUGAGCUGGGUUAAAUACGUCGUGAGACAGUAUGGUUUCUAUCUUCUAGGGGGAAUUAGAAUAUAAUAAGAACAAACUUUUGUACGAAAGGAACAAGAAGAGUUUAGCUGUAAAAGGUUAAACGAUGGUUACUAAUCUAUGGUUUACCUGUUGUUUAUGUGCCCAAAUAUUCAACAUAUAUAUUUAUAUAUAUGUAUUUGUAUUUUUAUACAUAGGGAUGUUUCUUUCACUAAGAUAAAUAUAUAGCAUAAGCACGGCAGGAACGCUAAGUUAGUUAAGGAUAAGUGCUGAAAGCAUAUAGGCACGAAGCUUAUCUUAAGAUAUUUCUUAAAUAUGCGUAAUAUAUUAUUACGAAAUAAUUAUAGGCUUUAUCCGUAAGAAUCUAGAGAUUUUCAAGAAUAAAGUACUAAUUUAAUAA
rnacentral:ncRNA from 1 species